rnacentral:rRNA from 1 species
AGAACGAACGCUGGCGGCAGGCUUAACACAUGCAAGUCGAACGGUUGUAGCAAUACAGCAGUGGCAGACGGGUGAGUAACACGUGGGAACCUUCCUAGGGGUACGGAACAACUCAGGGAAACUUGAGCUAAUACCGUAUACGUCCGUGAGGAGAAAGAUUUAUCGCCCCUAGACGGGCCCGCGUAGGAUUAGGUAGUUGGUGAGGUAACGGCUCACCAAGCCUACGAUCCUUAGCUGAUCUGAGAGGAUGAUCAGCCACACUGGGACUGAGACACGGCCCAGACUCCUACGGGAGCAGCAGUGGGGAAUCUUGGACAAGUGGGCGCAAGGCCUGAUCCAGCCAUGCCGCGUGAGUGAAGAAGGCCUUCGGGUGUAAGCUCUUUUACCAGGGACGAUAAGUGACGGUACUGGAGAUAAGCCCGACAACUUCGCGCCAGCACGCGC